ACUUUGAAACCAGAUGAUGGGUGUCAAUUAGAUAUUCUUUCAAAAAUCUAGGAAAAAAGGAGAUUUUUAUCUAUGUUGGAAGCAAUAAGAACAAAAAGCUGGGUGUGGUAGUACACACUCAGGAGGCAGGGGCAAGCUGAUCUCUGAGUUUAAGGCCAGCCUUGUCUACAGAGUAAGUUCCAGGGCAGCCAGGGCUAUGCAGAGAAACCUUGUUUCAAAAAUCAAGCAAAUGAAAGG
rnacentral:lncRNA from 1 species